AGUGUGGGUUUCACAUUCCGUAGCGGGUUUACUGUAAUCAAAAAGAAUAAAUAGUUCAUGUUCCUAAGCUGGCCUAGAUUUUCAGAUAUGGUGAUGUUGGCUGCCAACAGAUAUGACGGAUUGUUGAGUAAUACGUAUCUGAAGGAGGAUAACGAAUAACGUCUCAGGUGAUGAUGGCCCCAAACUCUCCGAUACACUGCUUGACACUGCUCUUGUUCUUCCUGAUCCAUAUACCAAAUGGUGCGUCUGAACUGAUCUGUCCUAGUGUUGGGUAUCUUGGUUCUCCUGCUAACC